rnacentral:rRNA from 1 species
GAUGAACGCUGGCGGCGUGCCUAAUACAUGCAAGUCGAGCGAACGGACGAGAAGCUUGCUUCUCUGAUGUUAGCGGCGGACGGGUGAGUAACACGUGGAUAACCUACCUAUAAGACUGGGAUAACUUCGGGAAACCGGAGCUAAUACCGGAUAAUAUUUUGAACCGCAUGGUUCAAAAGUGAAAGACGGUCUUGCUGUCACUUAUAGAUGGAUCCGCGCUGCAUUAGCUAGUUGGUAAGGUAACGGCUUACUAAGGCAACGAUGCAUAGCCGACCUGAGAGGGUGAUCGGCCACACUGGAACUGAGACACGGUCCAGACUCCUACGGGAGGCAGCAGUAGGGAAUCUUCCGCAAUGGGCGAAAGCCUGACGGAGCAACGCCGCGUGAGUGAUGAAGGUCUUCGGAUCGUAAAACUCUGUUAUUAUGGAAGAACAUAUGUGUAAGUAACUGUGCACAUCUUGACGGUACCUAAUCAGAAAGCCACGGCUAACUACGUG